GACGAACGCUGGCGGCGUGCUUAACACAUGCAAGUCGAACGGAAAGGCCCUGCUUUUGUGGGGUGCUCGAGUGCGAACGGGUGAGUAACACGUGAGUAACCUGCCCUUGACUUUGGGAUAACUUCAGGAAACUGGGGCUAAUACCGGAUAGGAGCUCCUGCUGCAUGGUGGGGGUUGGAAAGUUUCGGCGGUUGGGGAUGGACUCGCGGCUUAUCAGCUUGUUGGUGGGGUAGUGGCUUACCAAGGCUUUGGCGGGUAGCCGGCCUGAGAGGGUGACCGGCCACAUUGGGACUGAGAUACGGCCCAGACUCCUACGGGAGGCAGCAGUGGGGAAUAUUGCACAAUGGGCGGAAGCCUGAUGCAGCAACGCCGCGUGCGGGAUGACGGCCUUCGGGUUGUAAACCGCUUUCGCCUGUGACGAAGCGUGAGUGACGGUAAUGGGUAAAGAAGCACCGGCUAACUACGUG
rnacentral:rRNA from 1 species